ACCCGCUGAACUUAAGCAUAUCAAUAAGCGGAGGAAAAGAAACUAACAAGGAUUCCCCUAGUAACGGCGAGUGAAGAGGGAAAAGCUCAAAUUUUGAAUCUGGUGUCUUUGACUCCCGAGUUGUAAUCUAGAGAAGUGUUUUCCGUGUCGGACCGUGUACAAGUUCCCUGGAACGGGGCGUCAUA
rnacentral:rRNA from 1 species